GAAUUUUAUAAGUUUCAAGAUUCCCUGGUGGCGUUGGGCCCCGCCUGACAAAAAAUACACGUGGCGGGACUAGAAAAUUUCUAGGCUUCUUCCAGCUACUAGAGGAUCUGGAAAUUCAUGGUGUGCCGUUGAAUCCAAGCGGUGAUAGCACGGAUAUGAUGUGAUCCAACGGUGGAGAAGUAUAGUGGGCGAGAAAUUAUUUUGACGGUGGAUGAGGAUGAGCAUCGAUUUAGG
rnacentral:misc_RNA from 1 species